GCCUGGCUGGCUCAGUCGGUAGAGCACGCGACUAUUGAUCUCAGGGUCAUGAGUUCAAGCCCCCUGCUGGGUA
rnacentral:tRNA from 1 species